CAAGAGCGUAUGUAAAAGUUGUUGCAGUUAAAAAGCUCGUAGUUGAACCUUGGGUUUGGUUGGCCGGUCCGCUUUUUUGCGAGUACUGGAUUCAACCGAGCCUUUCCUUCUGGCUAACCAGUCGUUUCGGCGGCUGGCGAACCAGGAUUUUUACUUUGAGAAAAUUAGAGUGUUCAAAGCAGGCAUUAGCUUGAAUAUAUUAGCAUGGAAUAAUAGAAGAGGACGUUAUGGUUCUAUUUUGUUGGUUUCUAGGACCAUCGUAAUGAUUAAUAGGGACGGUCGGGGGCAUCAGUAUUCAGUUGUCAGAGGUGAAAUUCUUGGAUUUACUGAAGACUAACUACUGCGAAAGCAUUUGCCAAGGACGUUUUCAUUAA
rnacentral:rRNA from 1 species